AUGUCAGUUAGAAGGAACCUAAAAGAUCAAGUUAUUCAACUCACUCUUCACAGAGAUGGGAGCUGGGUUCACCAAAAUGAAGGAUCUGGUCAAAGUCACUCAAAUACAAAAUGCCAGAACAGGACCAAGGGCAAGGUCCAUCUCCAGGUCAUGACAUCAAGGCUCAAAGACCGCCCUAGGCAGUUCCCGUUAGCCAUCCUUCAGAGGGUCGAUGCUGGGGCACAGUGUGAGCAGAAGAUGUAAAACCUGUUCUUCCUCUUGCGGAUGAUCUGCUACUACUUCAUUCUGAGCUGGGGAAAAUUGCAUGUGCAUCUGGUGACCUCCUUUUCUAUGGAGUGAAACCAUCUGGAAAUGUGAUUGUGAAGCUUGCUGAGCAGGAAAGAGAGAGCUGGAAAGUGAAGCCCAGGCUUUAUACUACCUCAGCUCUGAAACAGUAUGCAUCACUCUUGCUGUGGUUCAUUGGCCGGAUCUAGUCAAAUGGCCCCAAACUAACUUCAAGAGUCAGGGAAAUGCAAUUGCUAUGAACACUACACAUCUCUGCCAAUAACAACAAAGAUUGAAAUUCCUUUCACCUGGAGGUAAAAUUGAGUUCGAUGUAAAAGAAAUGAAGUCAGGAGUUCCCAAUUGUGAUGCAGUGGAAAUGAAUCUGACUAGUAUCCGUGAGAAUGUGGGUUCCAUCCCUGGCCUUGCUCAGUGGGUCAUGGAUCCAGUGUUGCAACAAGCUGUGGUGUAGGUCGCAGACCUGGUCGCAAAUCCUGUGCUGCUGUGGCUGUGGCGUAGGCCAUCAGCUUCAGCCCUGAUUCAACCUGAUUCAAGCUUGGGAACUUCCAUAUGCCCUAGGUGCUGCCCUAAAAAGAAAAAAAAAAGAAAGAAAAUUUAAAAAAUGAAGUAAUCUGACAAUUUCUAUGUACUUUUUUUUUUGGUUUUCUGGAGUGAUUUUUUUUUUUAACCUAUGUCAAAUGUUGCAGACCGACCUGCUUUAAGCUGAAGCAUGUGGAUCAUGCAUCCUGAGUUUGUUUAAUGCACAUAUCACACACAACAUUCAUUUCUCUGAGUCAUGCUAACAUUAUUGCUUUGUCUUCUCUAAAAUACUUCAAAGAGGGAGCAAGAGCCAAAAGAAGGAUUAGCUCCACAUAAAAGUCAGGUUUCAAGUGCUGACUGUCCUCAAGGAGGUGUAAAUAUCAUACUGCAGGACAGCCAGCCUGCUGUCUGCUCUACUUCAUUACCAAUUGCGACUGAUAUCCAAGGAUCAAAAUCUGAACUGCUGUACAUUAAAUUCAGUCACUGGAUUAUGGCACAAUAAAUUAAUACUUCUUCAAAAGCCUUAAUGUAUU
rnacentral:lncRNA from 1 species